rnacentral:lncRNA from 1 species
CGCGUUCGCAGCGCUCCGCGGGCCGGGGGCAGCGGGCAGGGCCGGGCGAGCGGAGUCGGAACAGGGCUGCACCCCCCGAGCCCCGGGCGCUCCCCUCUCCAGGCGGUGCAAGCGACGGCGUGCCGGAAAAUCCCGGCGGGGCAGCGCCGGGCGGUGUGCAGGCGGCGCAGGAGGCGGAGCGGGCUCCGGGCGCUCCCCGCCCUUUCGGCCGCCGCCUUUGGAAGGUCGGGCCAGGCGCCCGUCCCGUCCCUCCGGCUCCAUCUCUGGGAACUUCUCUCUGCCUUCACAGCUCCGUGCCGGAGAGUGGCAGAAAGGUCCCUGCUGCUUGCCCUGUCCUCGGUGGGCAGAGAGCUCUGACCUCCGCCGGAUGGGCUGCCGAAUUCUGAAGCGCUCACCAGAGAUCUGCCUGGGAGGAGAAGCAGAGCCAAGCACUGAGAACUGACAAGUGAGCUCCGGGUGAGGGACCUGCCGUUUCCCCCCCUGGCCCUUGGUGUGGGGACCUCCUGACGCUCCCCUUCCUGUGCUGGGAGUGUUUCUCCUCUCAUCCGGCCAAGCCAGAGACCUCCUAGGGAACAAGCAGGGAAGGUUUAAGCACCGAGAUCUCCCAAGUAAGAAGUGACAUGACAAAAGGAAAUGGCCUCAAGUUGCAGCAGGGAAGGCUUAGGUUGGAUUUGAGGAGAAAUUUCUUCACUGGAAGGGUGGUCAGGCCUAGGAGCAGGCUGCCCAGGGAAGCCCCCAUCCCUGGAGACAUUUCAAGGGUGUCCAGAUGUGGUGUUUAGGGACCUGAUUUGGGAGGGGCUUGGCAGUGCUGGGGCAACAGCUGGGCUCAGUGACCUUAGAAGGCUUUUCCAACCUAAAGGAUCCUAUGGUUCUGAACAGCCUUGACCCCUCUGGCUCAAAGACAGCACCUGGAUACAUAGGGAGGGAGGGAGAGAAAUCCUCUCUUCACAUGUGCCAGUUCAUCUGUGAAACUCAUCCCGGCAGGACAGCGUGAAGACUGAAAGUGUAAGAAGAUGUGGGGUGCAAUGGAGAAUGUGGCAGGAGCACCCAACACACAAGUGCACGAGUUUUGCUUUUUGCUUGGAUUGAAACUCAGAAGUUGUAAGGAGUUUGGGAAUGAGAUGGGAUUUUUCAGAAGAAGAGGAAGGAGGAGAAGAAGCAGAAAAAAUUAUUGUUACAGUCCUGGCAAAAUCUUUUGUUCUAGCUAAUAAAAGAAGUUAAAAAAAAAAGCA